UGGUGGGUAGUUUGACUGGGGCGGUCUCCUCCUAAAGAGUAACGGAGGAGCACGAAGGUUGGCUAAUCCUGGUCGGACAUCAGGAGGUUAGUGCAAUGGCAUAAGCCAGCUUGACUGCGAGCGUGACGGCGCGAGCAGGUGCGAAAGCAGGUCAUAGUGAUCCGGUGGUUCUGAAUGGAAGGGCCAUCGCUCAACGGAUAAAAGGUACUCCGGGGAUAACAGGCUGAUACCGCCCAAGAGUUCAUAUCGACGGCGGUGUUUGGCACCUCGAUGUCGGCUCAUCACAUCCUGGGGCUGAAGUAGGUCCCAAGGGUAUGGCUGUUCGCCAUUUAAAGUGGUACGCGAGCUGGGUUUAGAACGUCGUGAGACAGUUCGGUCCCUAUCUGCCGUGGGCGCUGGAGAACUGAGGGGGGCUGCUCCUAGUACGAGAGGACCGGAGUGGACGCAUCACUGGUGUUCGGGUUGUCAUGCCAAUGGCACUGCCCGGUAGCUAAAUGCGGAAGAGAUAAGUGCUGAAAGCAUCUAAGCACGAAACUUGCCCCGAGAUGAGUUCUCCCUGACUCCUUGAGAGUCCUGAAGGAACGUUGAAGACGACGACGUUGAU
rnacentral:rRNA from 2 species